rnacentral:rRNA from 1 species
UAACACCUGGAAACAGAUGCUAAUACCGACAACAACAGAUGAUGCCUAUCAACUGUUUAAAAGAUGGUUCUGCUAUCACUCUUGGAUGGACCUGCGGUGCAUUAGCUAGUUGGUAGGGUAACGGCCUACCAAGGCGAUGAUGCAUAGCCGAGUUGAGAGACUGAUCGGCCACAUUGGGACUGAGACACGGCCCAAACUCCUACGGGAGGCAGCAGUC